rnacentral:rRNA from 2 species
CCUCAGUAACGGCGAGUGAAGCGGCAACAGCUCAAAUUUGAAAUCUGGCUCCUUCGGGGCCCGAGUUGUAAUUUGCAGAGGAUGCGUCGGGUACGGGUGCCUUCCGAGUUCCCUGGAACGGGACGCCAUAGAGGGUGAGAGCCCCGUCUGGUAGGACACCCAGCCCGUGUGAUGCUCCCUCGACGAGUCGAGUAGUUUGGGAAUGCUGCUCUAACGGGAGGUAUACUCCUUCCAAGGCUAAAUACCGGCUGGAGACCGAUAGCGCACAAGUAGAGUGAUCGAAAGAUGAAAAGCACUUUGAAAAGAGAGUCAAAUAGCACGUGAAAUUGUUAAAAGGGAAGCGCUCGCUACCAGACUUGGGUUCGGCGGUUCAACCGGGGCCACGCCCCGGGGCACUCCGCCGUCCCAGGCCAGCAUCAGCUCUCCGUCGGGGGCAAAGGCGUCGGGAAUGUGGCUCUCCUUCGGGGGAGUGUUAUAGCCCGGCGUGUCAUACCCUUCGGGGGGCUGAGGUACGCGCUUCUGCAAGGAU